rnacentral:rRNA from 1 species
GACAGAGGGUGCAAACGUUGUUCGGAAUUACUGGGCGUAAAGCGCGUGUAGGCGGCUAAGUAAGUCGGGCGUGAAAUCCCACGGCUCAACCGUGGAAGUGCACUCGAAACUGCAUAGCUAGAGUCCUGGAGAGGAAGGUGGAAUGCUUGGUGUAGAGGUGAAAUGCGUAGAUAUUGGGAGGAACACCAGUGGCGAAGGCGGCUCACUGGACCGGAACUGACGCUGAGGCGCGAAAGCGUGGGGAGCAAACAGG